UCUAUUCCAUCUACAGCAUGGCAGCACUGACUUAGUGCUUUUCCUUUUCUUGAAUUCUCCCCUUUUCAGCCACGUCAAUCCUGAAGAAAUCCAAGCGGCUGAAGAAGAACAAUGUGGAGUUUGACCGGGUCACUGUGUUUUACUUCCCACGCUGCCAGGGCUUCACGAGCGUGCCUAGCCGUGGGGGCUGUACCCUGGGGAUGGUGAGCAAACACAGCUCCUCCCGGCAGUUCACACUGGCAGAGUUUUCAAAGGAGCAGGAAAACGUCCGGCGGGGCAAACUCGAAGAGAAGUUAAAAGAGGAGAAGUUGGAAGCGUUGAAAUGGAAACUCACCAUGAACGGCACCAAGGAGUCGGAGGAGGCCAACCAGCUGACCAUCGAGGACAUCUCCGACGACGACAUCGACGUCAGCAGCGUGGACCUGGAGGACGGCUUCUUCCUGCAGCCCUACCCCGCCAAGAAGAGGCGCGCGCUGCUCAAGGCCGUGGGCGUGAAGAAGAUCGACAAGGAGGAGAAGCGGGAGCUGCACAGCAUCCGCCUGUCGCGGGAGGACUGCGGCUGCGACUGCCGCGAGGUCUGCGACCCCGAGACCUGCAGCUGCAGCCUGGCGGGCAUUAAGUGUCAGGUACAGCCUCAGCCCUGGGCACGGCGGGAUGCCG
rnacentral:lncRNA from 12 species